rnacentral:rRNA from 1 species
GACGAACGCUGGCGGCGUGCUUAACACAUGCAAGUCGAACGAUGGAGCGGUGCUUGCACCGUGGAUUAGUGGCGAACGGGUGAGUAAUACAUGAGUGACCUACCUUUGACUCUGGGAUAAGCCUGGGAAACUGGGUCUAAUACCGGAUACGACCAAUCUCUGCAUGGGGUGUUGGUGGAAAGCGUUAUGGAGUGGUUUUAGAUGGGCUCACGGCCUAUCAGCUUGUUGGUGAGGUAAUGGCUUACCAAGGCGACCACUGGUAGCCGGCCUGAGAGGGUGACCGGCCGCGCUGGGACUGAGACACAGCCCCAGACUCCUACGGGAGGCAGCAGUGGGGAAUAUUGCACAAUGGGUGCAAGCCUGAUGCAACGACACCACGUGAGGGAUGACGGCCUUCGGGUUGUAACCCUCUGUUAGCAUCUAAUAAGCAAAAGUGACGGUAGGUGCAGAGAAACCGCCGGCUAACUACCUGCCAGCAGCCGCGGUAAUAUGUUCGGCGCGAGCGGUGUUCCGGAUUAUUUGCGCGUAAACAUGCUUGUAGGCGGUUGGUCGCGUCUGCUGUGAAGGCCGGGGCUUAACUCCGGUUUUGCAGUGGGUACGGGCUAACUAGAGUGCAGUAGGGGAGACUGGAAUUCCUGGUGUAGCGGUGGAAUGCACAGAUAUCAGGAGGAACACCGAUGGCGAAGGCAGGUCUCUGGGCUGUAACUGACGCUGAGAAGCGAAAGCAUGGGGAGCGAACAGGAUUAGAUACCCUGGUAGUCCAUGCCGUAAACGUUGGGCACUAGGUGUGGGGGACAUUCCACGUUUUCCGCGCCGUAGCUAACGCAUUAAGUGCCCCGCCUGGGGAGUACGGCCGCAAGGCUAAAACUCAAAGGAAUUGACGGGGGCCCGCACAAGCGGCGGAGCAUGCGGAUUAAUUCGAUGCAACGCGAAGAACCUUACCAAGGCUUGACAUGCAUUAGAUCGCGUCAGAGAUGGCGUUUCCCUUCGGGGCUGGUGUACAGGUGGUGCAUGGUUGUCGUCAGCUCGUGUCGUGAGAUGUUGGGUUAAGUCCCGCAACGAGCGUAACCCUCGUUCUAUGUUGCCAGCGGUUCAGCCGGGGACUCAUAGGAGACUGCCGGGGUCAACUCGGAGGAAGGUGGGGAUGACGUCAAAUCAUCAUGCCCCUUAUGUCUUGGGCUUCACGCAUGCUACAAUGGCCGGUACAGAGGGUUGCGAUACUGUGAGGUGGAGCUAAUCCCUUAAAGCCGGUCUCAGUUCGGAUUGGGGUCUGCAACUCGACCCCAUGAAGUCGGAGUCGCUAGUAAUCGCAGAUCAGCAACGCUGCGGUGAAUACGUUCCCGGGCCU